AUGAACGCUAGCUACAGGCUUAACACAUGCAAGUCGAGGGGCAGCAUGGUCUUAGCUUGCUAAGGCCGAUGGCGACCGGCGCACGGGUGAGUAACACGUAUCCAACCUGCCGUCUACUCUUGGACAGCCUUCUGAAAGGAAGAUUAAUACAAGAUGGCAUCAUGAGUCCACAUGUUCACAUGAUUAAAGGUAUUCCGGUAGACGAUGGGGAUGCGUUCCAUUAGAUAGUAGGCGGGGUAACGGCCCACCUAGUCUUCGAUGGAUAGGGGUUCUGAGAGGAAGGUCCCCCACAUUGGAACUGAGACACGGUCCAAACUCCUACGGGAGGCAGCAGUGAGGAAUAUUGGUCAAUGGGCGAGAGCCUGAACCAGCCAAGUAGCGUGAAGGAUGACUGCCCUAUGGGUUGUAAACUUCUUUUAUAAAGGAAUAAAGUCGGGUAUGCAUACCCGUUUGCAUGUACUUUAUGAAUAAGGAUCGGCUAACUCCGUGCCAGCAGCCGCGGUAAUACGGAGGAUCCGAGCGUUAUCCGGAUUUAUUGGGUUUAAAGGGAGCGUAGAUGGAUGUUUAAGUCAGUUGUGAAAGUUUGCGGCUCAACCGUAAAAUUGCAGUUGAUACUGGAUAUCUUGAGUGCAGUUGAGGCAGGCGGAAUUCGUGGUGUAGCGGUGAAAUGCUUAGAUAUCACGAAGAACUCCGAUUGCGAAGGCAGCCUGCUAAGCUGCAACUGACAUUGAGGCUCGAAAGUGUGGGUAUCAAACAGGAUUAGAUACCCUGGUAGUCCACACGGUAAACGAUGAAUACUCGCUGUUUGCGAUAUACAGCAAGCGGCCAAGCGAAAGCGUUAAGUAUUCCACCUGGGGAGUACGCCGGCAACGGUGAAACUCAAAGGAAUUGACGGGGGCCCGCACAAGCGGAGGAACAUGUGGUUUAAUUCGAUGAUACGCGAGGAACCUUACCCGGGCUCAAACGUCGGGCGAAUCAUCCUGAAAGGGGUGAGCCAGCAAUGGCGGCCGACGAGGUGCUGCAUGGUUGUCGUCAGCUCGUGCCGUGAGGUGUCGGCUUAAGUGCCAUAACGAGCGCAACCCUUGUUGUCAGUUACUAACAGGUUCUGCUGAGGACUCUGACAAGACUGCCAUCGUAAGAUGUGAGGAAGGUGGGGAUGACGUCAAAUCAGCACGGCCCUUACGUCCGGGGCUACACACGUGUUACAAUGGGGGGUACAGAGGGCCGCUACCACGCGAGUGGAUGCCAAUCCCCAAAACCUCUCUCAGUUCGGACUGGAGUCUGCAACCCGACUCCACGAAGCUGGAUUCGCUAGUAAUCGCGCAUCAGCCACGGCGCGGUGAAUACGUUCCCGGGCCUUGUACACACCGCCCGUCAAGCCAUGGGAGCCGGGGGUACCUGAAGUGCGUAACCGCGAGGAGCGCCCUAGGGUAAAACUGGUGACUGGGGCU
rnacentral:rRNA from 1 species